rnacentral:rRNA from 1 species
GACGUAGGGCGCGAGCGUUGUCCGGAUUUAUUGGGCGUAAAGAGCUCGUAGGCGGCUUGGUAAGUCGAGUGUGAAAACUCUGGGCUCAACUCAGAGACGCCACUCGAUACUGCCAUGGCUUGAGUCCGGUAGGGGAGUGUGGAAUUCCCGGUGUAGCGGUGAAAUGCGCAGAUAUCGGGAGGAACACCAGUAGCGAAGGCGGCACUCUGGGCCGGAACUGACGCUGAGGAGCGAAAGCGUGGGGAGCGAACAGG